GCGUGAGACGCCUCUGCCCGGUAGAAGAUACUGGAAGAUCAACUCUAAUUUGUGGCUGCCUUCCCAGCAGUCUCUACUUCAGCAUAUCUGGGAGCCAGAAGCACUCAAGUUUGAUAACUCAAAAGACAGAACAAUCAGUCAAGGGGUAGAGGCUACCUUCCAUUCUGCUCAUCUUACACUUCUUGGAAAGGAGACAUUCGGUGAAGAUCACUACUAUUCUCCAAACUUCAUUCGGGACCCUAUUCCUUCCCUGUUGAUGUCAGUGUGUGAAAUUCUAAAUUAUGUCAUGGGUGUAUACGUUCAAAAGCAAUAUAUUUUCAAAUAAACAAAAAAUAUAAUUGGCCAUCACAUAUACCAAA
rnacentral:lncRNA from 1 species